AAUAUUGGACAAUGGGCGACAGCCUGAUCCAGCCAUGCUGCGUGAGUGAUGAAGGCCCCAGGGUUGUAAAGCUCUUCCAACGGUGAAGAUAAUGACGGUAACCGUAGAAGCAGCUCCGGCUAACUUCGUGCGAGCAGCCGCGGUAAUACGACGGGGGCUAGCGUUGUUCGGAAUUACUGGGCGUAAAGCGCACGUAGGGGGAUUGUUAAGUGAGGGGUGAAAUCCCAGGGCUCAACCCUGGAACUGCCUCUCAUACUGGCAAGCUAGAGUUCGAGAGAGGUGAGUGGAAUUCCGAGUGUAGAGGUGAAAUUCGUAGAUAUUCGGAGGAACACCAGUGGCGAAGGCGGCUCACUGGCUCGAUACUGACGCUGAGGUGCGAAAGCGUGGGGAGCAAACAG
rnacentral:rRNA from 1 species